AUGAACUCUUUCUCUAAAGUCCGGCAGCCACUAACUACCCCUUAAGCAAGGGGAAGAGGAGGAGAGUCUACAUUUUGAAUGAAAAUGAUUUCUCCUUCACUUUCAGGAACUUCCCCUGCUUGGUACACCUGCUCUGUCAGAUCCCCUGGUGGCUGAUGGAAUGAAAAUUGGAAGAAAAUGAGAUAGGAGGAAUCUAAUGGGCUAGGCUGGG
rnacentral:lncRNA from 13 species